CCUACGGGUGGCAGCAGUGAGGAAUAUUGGUCAAUGGGCGUAAGCCUGAACCAGCCAAGUCGCGUGAGGGAUGAAGGUUCUAUGGAUCGUAAACCUCUUUUAUAAGGGAAUAAAGUGUGGGACGUGUCCUGUUUUGUAUGUACCUUAUGAAUAAGGAUCGGCUAACUCCGUGCCAGCAGCCGCGGUAAUACGGAGGAUCCGAGCGUUAUCCGGAUUUAUUGGGUUUAAAGGGUGCGUAGGCGGCCUUUUAAGUCAGCGGUGAAAGUCUGUGGCUCAACCAUAGAAUUGCCGUUGAAACUGGGAGGCUUGGGUAUGUUUGAGGCAGGCGGAAUGCGGGGUGUAGCGGUGAAAUGCUUAGAUAUCACGCAGAACCCCGAUUGCGAAGGCAGCCUGCCAAGCCAUGACUGACGCUGAUGCACGAAAGCAUGGGGAUCAAACAGGAAUAGAUACCCUAGUAGUC
rnacentral:rRNA from 1 species